GAUGAACGCUGACAGAAUGCUUAACACAUGCAAGUCCACUUGAAUUUGGGUUUUUAACUUAGGUUUGGGUGGCGGACGGGUGAGUAACGCGUAAAGAACUUGCCUCACAGCUAGGGACAACAUUUGGAAACGAAUGCUAAUACCUAAUAUUAUGAUAAUAGGGCAUCCUAUAAUUAUGAAAGCUAUAAGCGCUGUGAGAGAGCUUUGCGUCCCAUUAGCUAGUUGGAGAGGUAACGGCUCACCAAGGCGAUGAUGGGUAGCCGGCCUGAGAGGGUGAUCGGCCACAAGGGAACUGAGACACGGCCCUUACUCCUACGGGAGGAAGCAGUGGGGAAUAUUGGACAAUGGACCGAGAGUCUGAUCCAGCAAUUCUGUGUGCACGAUGAAGUUUUUCGGAAUGUAAAGUGCUUUCAGUUGGGAAGAAACAAAUGACGGUACCAACAGAAGAAGUGACGGCUAAAUACGUG
rnacentral:rRNA from 1 species